UAGUUACUAUGAUGUUGGCCCGGUUCACUCAGAUACUCAUAUGUCGUAACCGAGAUAUAUCGGUGGUUUUACGCCCACUGUUUCUGAUUGAGCCGUGCCAAUAUCUUAGUACUCUUU
rfam:Ananas comosus cultivar MD2 ACMD2_Scaffold_210, whole genome shotgun sequence.